ACAAGCAUUAUUGCCAAAGAGAGGACAACGAAAAUAUGUAACUUAGCUAGUGGUCCUAGCUACCAGCAAGUUACACCAAAAAGAAGAUGGAGCCUCCUAACACAACAGCCCGAACCAAACGUCAACAUUGAAGAACACGAAGAUCUACAUCGGCACGGUAGACGGUUGGUUACAGUGAUAAAUAGAAGGGAAGGGAAGGAAAAUAGAGGGGAGGGUGAACUUACGAAGAUGGAUCUUCAACUCAUCAAGGAUGAACUCAGCCCACCUGAAGUCAACGCAAGUUAGAUCGGAGGAGAUCAGGAUGAAGGAAAGAAAGAGUAGAAACUUACCAUGGAAAGAUGGCGCCCACAACCAUGGAUGGAGCUGGAAAUUCCAAGCGGAGCUUCAGCUUCUCGUAUGAUAGCGAGCUUGAGAAGAGUCUGGAACACUUCUUUGAACAAUGUCUAGAUUAGG
rnacentral:lncRNA from 1 species